GGGGACUGCAUAGAGGCAUGGAUACCAGGAAGAAGUCAGCCAGAUGGCUGGGGGCCGUCUUGGAAGACUGCCACAACAUGGACUUGGGAUUUGAACAGGAAGGCACACAUUGGUUAGUCACAAAUACAGCCCGACAAAAGCAGAAUAAUAAUUAAAAAAACCCUACCCUAGCAAGUGGAAAAAGGAGCUAAAUCAAUGGGCUGUGAGAAUGAAGGAAAGCUGAUUUGGGUGUGAAGAAAUGGUGUGGUUGUGAGGCAUGCCACGUUGCUGAGAGGAUGAGCUUGUUUAAAAAAAUGAACAACCCAGAAGAAAUCAGGGAGACCUAGACACAGAACCAGCGGGAUGCAACUAUUGGCAAAGGGAAGGAAAGUGGGAAAUGGCCAAUCACAAGCGUUUAAAAAUCCACACAUUCAGAGAAUGGAGUGGAUGGAUGACUGCAGAGGAAUAAAUGAUGGUGCUUCUGGUGUUAGAAGGUCAAGAUCUGUUUUCCCACUCUCAGAAGAUGACUCACUUCUUAUUUCAUUGAAAAUAGUGGAGCCGUCCGAAAACAGUUCCCUCCUAUUUUCACCACCAAAUCAAC
rnacentral:lncRNA from 1 species